AAAGUCGUAACAAGGUCUCCGUAGGUGAACCUGCGGAGGGAUCAUUAACACGUUAUCCAACACGUUAUUAAAACCAAAACCGUGCUCCUCUUCUUGCCCAUCACUGGAAGGUGUAUAUGUAAGCCAUAGGAUAGAUUCAAGUGUUCGCACUUGUCUGCUUGCAGUACUACGAUCUCUUUGAGGAUCAAACCGCUCUGGUAUGGUGUAUCAAACGCUAUCUUGGUUAUCAGUGCCACCCCGGUAUCGACCCGGAGCCUGGUAGCCUUAUUAAUCCCUAUUUUUUAACCCCUUUAAUUUUUAAAAAAACUACUGAUUUUACCCUUUUCAUGGACCAUCUGAUGGUCGUAGAAAUGGUGUAUACGAAAUUGCGAACAACUCUUAGCAACGGAUAUCUUGGUUCUC
rnacentral:misc_RNA from 1 species